CAGAACAGCAUACUACUUACUAAUAUAGCAAUCCUCCCGCAAGGUACGGGCACACAGCGGAACCGAAGGGAAGAGACGAAGGGCUUCUUUCACAACACACUCAAGGUACCAAAGCUUCUUCAAAUCCUCCAUCGUGACAGGACGCUCACUGUUACC